rnacentral:lncRNA from 1 species
GCAAAAUAAACAGGCAUACCAGAUAAAAAUGUAAAAAAUGUGGGAACAGUAGUUAGCAUCUUUUUUAUCAUCUUAAUCUUAAUCAUAAUAUAAACUAUGUCAAAAAAGAGAACGAAAAUGUCACACCGACACUCUGUAGACAAAGCACAACUUCAAAAAUGAUAGACAAGUAUAUAUUGACGGAAUGUAUAAAUAUCGAGACACCCCAAAUUGAUAGUACCCCCCCCCCCA